UACGAGGGGGGCAAGCGUUGUUCGGAAUUAUUGGGCGUAAAGGGCUCGUAGGCGGUUUGUCACGUCGGGCGUGAAAACUCAGGGCUUAACCCUGAGCGUGCGUUCGAUACGGGCAGACUAGAGGUAUGCAGGGGAGAACGGAAUUCCUGGUGUAGCGGUGGAAUGCGCAGAUAUCAGGAGGAACACCGGUGGCGAAGGCGGUUCUCUGGGCAUUACCUGACGCUGAGGAGCGAAAGCAUGGGGAGCGAACAGG
rnacentral:rRNA from 1 species